GGCUGGACCAGGGGCAGCGCCACCGCCCGCGGAUGGCCUUCCUCAAAAAGGUCGAAACCCUUGUGAUGGAAAUGCAGAAUCCGGACACGGGCAUCAAGACACACACUCAGAGGGUGAUGAUCACGAACAUCCCACAUGCUGUGACAGGUAAUGAUAUACUGCAGUGGAUUCUCCAGCGUUUGCAGAUCACUGGAGAAG